rnacentral:rRNA from 1 species
CGGGUGAGUAACACGUGGAUAGCCUACCUAUAAGACUGGGAUAACUUCGGGAAACCGGAGCUAAUACCGGAUAAUAUAUUGAACCGCAUGGUUCAAUAGUGAAAGACGGUUUUGCUGUCACUUAUAGAUGGAUCCGCGCCGCAUUAGCUAGUUGGUAAGGUAACGGCUUACCAAGGCAACGAUGCGUAGCCGACCUGAGAGGGUGAUCGGCCACACUGGAACUGAGACACGGUCCAGACUCCUACGGGAGGCAGCAGUG